AUUGACGUCAUUUAACCCGAUGCCUGGUGCAAAGUGCUUGAGCAAUAAAUAUAGAAGAAAUAAAGAAAAUAAGGAGGAUGCAUCAUUUCUCAGGCCACUCUUGGAAAUGUCAAUAGUCAGAGCCAGAAUUUUGAAUGGAAGCUUUGGAAGAGAUGAAAAUCUAUUUGGAAUGGACCCUGGUAAGCACUAGAAUGGGGAGGUUGAGGAGACCCCACCAUGUGCUGAGAACUAUGCAGUAAUGUUGCUUUUUCUCAGAUGUGGGGAUGCUGAUUUGUACGCUGACCUCCAGGCUGUAAAGAUACCUGAUAACGCAGCCAGGACUUGGCUCAGAAAGUGAUUCAGCAAUUUGCCUGAGACUGACCCAGUUUUAGCACAAAAAGUCCGGAGUCCUGAGAAAUGCCUCAGUCCCAGUCAAAUCAGAGCAACUGGUCGCCCAAGACAGCAAGUAAGAAGAUACUCGGGCACUCAGGCAAGCAGCAAAUCUCAGGCAAAUUCUGCAUCGUAAACCAAACAAUGGUCACAGUGUUUCUGUGCCAGAUCCUGGACCUCUGAGCAUAGGCUCCCUCGCCGCACCCAACCCCAGUUCCCUCCACAAGCACGGCUGAACCACAGUUGAUAUAAGUGGAUGGAACCGGUGGCCUUUCCGCUCUCCUUCUCACCUAACAGUUAAAACAGUCCUCAAAUUCUCUUACAGGGCCGAGUAAAUAUUUCAGAUGUUUACACAGCCAGGACUUUCUGAAUGAAGGGAAACAGCAAGGUCCAAACCACAGCCAUAAGGAUUCCUCAGGUUUACUCUGUUCAAAGGCCUGGGCUGUGACCUUCCUCCACCCGUUUCCUGGGGCUUCUUCAACAGCAGCAAGCAUGCCUUUGAUCGGAAUUUCAGUUCGGCUACCAGCUGGAUGCACAUUCCCAACGCCUCAGUGCUUUGCUUUCCAGCUGCCCAGAGUGAUCCCACUGCCCAGGGAAGGAAGCAAGGACAUCAGAGCAAAUCCUGGCCCCUUUCGCAGCAGAGAGAAUGCUUUUUGGAGUCUCAUACGGGAACCCUGAAAGAUCUCCCCAUACGGAGAUACAUCUACACAACACACACACACACACACACACACACACACACACACACUAAAAGUAAUUUAAGACUAGAAAGGUUUAAAGAGAAUUAGGAACUCUAAGAAAUUAUUUUAAGGAACUAUCAUUCAAAAAAAAUAAUAAGCAAGAGCAAAUUUUGGUAAUUAAGCAGUGGCUUAGAUCUGGAUCCUACUCUGUUUAUAUCGAUUUUUCCUUCUGAGUGUAGCCGGGGCGCAGGGGCGCAGACAGACCAGGCUGGGCCGGCUCCCCGCUGACAGAAUCCAAAGGCAGAGAGACGAGUGUGGUGAGACAAGAAAGGAACUUCUUUCAGGGGAGCUGACACGGGAAAACAGGGGCUAGUGUCUCAAAGACUUAACUGGAAGGGUCCAAAAUGCUUCCAGGUCUAUAUAAGGAGGGGGAUGGGGGGGUGGGGCAAAGGUGGGUGGGUCCGCACAGGUGGGCAGUGAAGGUCAGAUCCAUCAAGGCCUUAGACUCCAGCAUGGGCGGGGUCUUGCUGGCUCAGGGCAGCCCUUACCGCUGAGGGGGCAGUCUCCGUGCCCACCAGGCAAUGCUUUGCUCUUAGGGUCUUCCUCCUGAGCCAAGAGACAAGUUGGAAAGAAGAACCCAACUAGAAAGCUUGGGGUCGAAAUGGAGGCAACCCUCUUUCAUGAGUACUUGACUCCACACAUUUAACUUCAGUGCCCAUCUUUGAUCUCCGUUUCAUUCUGACUCUUUUCAGGUUUUGGGACCUCAGCUUGCUUAGACCCUCUCUGAUGUGGGAACUUCUGUUCCAACAAACUCCCCAUACUCCAUGCUUCCAUUUCUAACCUCAGAGACACACCCCCCGCACACCCAAGACCCAAGAGGCUCUGCCUCAGUCUCCCCAUCGCUCGGGGAGGGAGGAGUGGCUUAUAGACUGCCCAUUGCCCAUGACCCCUCUUCAUGCAAAGGGAAAACUGCCUCAUACCACGAAGAGAAGAGGCAGCAUUGCACUUAAAAGAAGCCAUAACCGCAGAGGAAUGAGGCAUGGAGGAGAAACUACUAGCACGUGUCUCUAUAGGACUGGGCAGGACAUUUCUCGAAGUUGCCCCAGGACACCACAUUUACUCUUCUGCUGCACUCUGUGCACCAACCCACUCCCUCUUCUGUUAGGAUAUCCCCCAAGUCACCAAAUCUACCACAGAAAACCCAUGACAAAUUAGUUCGAGUUGAAAGGAAAAUCUCCAACUUCUUUUCCUGGUACCCAGUUCAAGACAGCAACGGUUCUCUGCUGGGUGCAAGGGAGAGCAGGAAACUGCUGUUCCGGACAGAGACUAGUGAACGGGGAAACUGUUUUUCAAAAUGGCGAGCCACUCGUGGAAGUUUUUGGUAUCAUUUCCUCCAAAGACUGGCAAUUGUUUCAGAAGAAAACGUCAGAAAUAGUACUAACCCCAAACCUGGUAACAAGAAAUUCUUGAUCAUUAUCCAUGAAUGAGGAUCAUCAUCCCUUGGAUAAUGAAAUUGAAUACUUUUGUUAGAAUGGGGAUUUUUCCCCUUUUUUAUAAAAAAGACUAAUUAUACUUUAGUCUAGAAUGAUUCUCUCCUUACCGUGCUGUUCUCUUCUUAGAGCAAAACGCAUGAGUGUGCUGUUACGGGAGGAGAACUUUGACCUGGGAAGGGUAUUUAGGCAUUCUCCCAGACAAGCUGUUGACUUCCACAAAAAAUUGGCAAAGGACAGAGCCAUCUGGGAUAAAACAUUAUGCACAUUGUUGGUGGCUUACUCUUAGGAGUGCAUUUCAGUUUCAGACCACAAAAACCACGACAUUAAGCAGCUAAUAGAGGCUAUUUUGUAUUACAUCACAGAUGGAGAAGGAUCCCAGGAUGGGUCCCUUCAUUUCAUCUAUUUCAAAAAUCUGAAACAUUAUUUUUCAGAUGAGCCUUUGGUGCAACUAUCCACUUCCCCAGUUUAGAGUUUCCUAUACAGAGCAUCUUCUGUCCCUACAUCCCGGGGUACCCCGGGCAGUGGAGACCGUCAGCAGACUUAACAAGGGGUUAUCUAGGUUCUGGUGAUGACGUCACCACAACUUACUAUGGGAGGUUCUACAAGACACUUAAUAUUCCCAGAUCCAUUAGUUAAGAUAAGACUAGCUGUAGAACAAACACCAAAAUUUCACUGUUAAUAAAAUAUUGCUACUUGCUCGUCACAGUUCGGUAUCGGCAUUCCUCGGGAGCAGGCAGCCUUCCCUCCCACGGUGAUUCAGAGAUCCCAACUCUUCCAGCUUUCAAAUCCUUCCAUCCAUGAGGGCAUCAAAGUCCUCUGCUUCUUGCUCUUGGAAAGGGAAAGAGAAUAUGGGAAAAUCCCACCCGCUCUGUCAGAGUCUGGCGGGAAAGGGACGCAUCCUCACUUCUGCUCUAAUCCAAUGUCGAGAACAAGACAGAUGGCCGUGGAGCCGGCAAGGACAGGAACCAGAGACUGAGAAGCACGGUCCAGCCUGGGACAGCAGGAAUUUGGGGGCGCACAGCUAUAAAAUUUUGCCACACUAAACCUCGACUUCUUUAUCUGUGAAAUGGUAAUAACGGUUUUUGCCCUGCCACCCCACAUAGAGACAUUGCGGGAAAAGCAGUAAUAAACGUUAAUGUGUUUUGGAAGUGGUUCCAGAGGAUCACAGCCCCACAAGAGAGUAUUGUCCCUUCUAGCUGUGAACUUGUUUGUGCCUUUCAGCAUUGCAAGAUUCGAGUCCACGUUCAACUGCUAGACUUAGUUGUCAAAGCCCACGAUUUUGUCCCCAUAUUUAUUGCCCUUCCCUUCUGGGAGCUUUUGACCAAGUCCAUCCCCGACUCCACGAGACCACACACUUUCUUGGCAUCCGCAUUGUGGCCUUCUCCUGGUCUCCCCACUUCCUCACCGCCCCUUCUCAAUCCACUCUCAACCUUCUCGCAGAUGUUUCUUAGGACCCUGCCAUGGACCCUAUCUCUCACCACACUCAUGGUGGCAUGCCGAGGACCCUAAAAGUGUACUUUGUCACCAAGCUGCUCUUCUGGGCUUCACACUCCCACAGACCACAGGGCCCUUGAUACCUCCAUCUGAGUGCUUCUCGGGCAGCUCAGACGUCACAUGGACAAAACAGAGCUCCUGACUUUCCCUCCCCAAACCAUCCCUCUGCAAAUCUUCCCACAUAUAAUCCUCCAUCUUCACAAAUGACAUCCAGUACUCAAAUUCAAAAACUCAGAAUCGUGUUUUACUCCUUCCUUUCUCUCACUUCCUGUUGGUAAAUCCUACUGGCUUUACCACACCCUCCCCCAAAAUGAAAUGCCGUCUGUCUGUCCACUUCUAUCUAGCUGCUGUCUCCCUAAUACUAGCCACUGUCUUAUCCCACCCAGAUUGCUACAGAAGUUUCUGAAGUAAUUACUGAAGUUUAAGUCAUAUACCUUACAACCCAUUCUCCCCUGAGCAGCAAGAGUCAUCUUUUUAAAACAUACAGACUCCAGAGAGCAGAGGCAUGAGGUGGAGAGCAGGACCGGGGUGGCCUGUGUCGUUUGAGGUUUUGACUCUGGCCAUGCCCGAUAUGUAAUCGCUCCCUGGACUUCCUGCUCAUGCAGCCAAACUUCCCUUCUGCUUUUGCUGGUUUGAGUUCGUGUUAGAUUACGCUCUUCCCCAGGAUGUCCUCCCCUCCCCUCUUUUCCCAAGACGAGUUCCUGUCCCCACUAUGUCUCAGUUUAAAGGUCACCUGCUCUGAGACACCUUUCCUGAACAUUCUGCUUAAAGAUCUCUCCUCUCUGGGGCGCCUGGGUGGGUCAGUGGGUUAAGCCUCUGCCUUCAGCUCAGGUCAUGAUCUCAGAGUCCUGGGAUGGAGCCCCACAUCCAGCUAUCUGCUCAGUGGGGAGCCUGCCUACCCCUCCCUCUCUGCCUGCCUCUCUGCCUA